UUGUCUCAAAGAUUAAGCCAUGCAUGUCUCAGUACAAGCCAUAUUAAGGUGAAACCGCGAAAGGCUCAUUAAAUCAGUUAUGGUUCCUUAGAUCGUACCCACAUUUACUUGGAUAACUGUGGUAAUUCUAGAGCUAAUACAUGCAAACAGAGCUCCGACCGGAGACGGAAGGAGCGCUUUUAUUAGAUCAAAACCAAUCGGUGGCGGGUUCGCGCUCGUCAUCGUACAACUUGGUGACUCUGAAUAACUUUACGCUGAUCGCAUGGUCUCGCACCGGCGACGCAUCUUUCAAAUGUCUGCCUUAUCAACUGUCGAUGGUAGGUUCUGCGCCUACCAUGGUUGUAACGGGUAACGGGGAAUCAGGGUUCGAUUCCGGAGAGGGAGCCUGAGAAACGGCUACCACAUCCAAGGAAGGCAGCAGGCGCGCAAAUUACCCACUCCCGGCACGGGGAGGUAGUGACGAAAAAUAACGAUACGGGACUCUUCCGAGGCCCCGUAAUCGGAAUGAGUACACUCUAAACCCUUUAACGAGGAUCAAUUGGAGGGCAAGUCUGGUGCCAGCAGCCGCGGUAAUUCCAGCUCCAAUAGCGUAUAUUAAAGUUGUUGCGGUUAAAAAGCUCGUAGUCGAAUUUGUGUCCCGCGCCGCCGGUUCAUCGCACGCGGUGUUAACUGGCGUGCCGCGGGACGUCCUGCCGGUGGACUUAGCCUUCACGGGCGGUCCAACUCAAUCCCAUCACGGUGCUCUUUACUGAGUGUCGAGGUGGGCCGGCACGUUUACUUUGAACAAAUUAGAGUGCUCAAAGCAGGCUAAAACUUCGCCUGAAUACGUGUGCAUGGAAUAAUGGAAUAGGAUCUCGGUUCUAUUUUGUUGGUUUUCGGAACCCCGAGGUAAUGAUUAAUAGGAACGGAUGGGGGCAUUCGUAUUGCGACGUUAGAGGUGAAAUUCUUGGAUCGUCGCAAGACGAACAGAAGCGAAAGCAUUUGCCAAAAACGCUUUCAUUGAUCAAGAACGAAAGUUAGAGGUUCGAAGGCGAUCAGAUACCGCCCUAGUUCUAACCAUAAACGAUGCCAGCUAGCGAUCCGCCGACGUUCCUCCGAUGACUCGGCGGGCAGCUUCCGGGAAACCAAAGCUUUUGGGUUCCGGGGGAAGUAUGGUUGCAAAGCUGAAACUUAAAGGAAUUGACGGAAGGGCACCACCAGGAGUGGAGCCUGCGGCUUAAUUUGACUCAACACGGGAAACCUCACCAGGCCCGGACACCGGAAGGAUUGACAGAUUGAGAGCUCUUUCUUGAUUCGGUGGGUGGUGGUGCAUGGCCGU
rnacentral:rRNA from 1 species